rnacentral:rRNA from 1 species
ACUGAACGCUGGCGGCAGGCCUAACACAUGCAAGUCGAGUGGAUGAAGGGAGCUUGCUCCUGGAUUCAGCGGCGGACGGGUGAGUAAUGCCUAGGAAUCUGCCUGGUAGUGGGGGAUAACGUCCGGAAACGGGCGCUAAUACCGCAUACGUCCUGAGGGAGAAAGUGGGGGAUCUUCGGACCUCACGCUAUCAGAUGAACCUAGGUCGGAUUAGCUAGUUGGUGGGGUAAAGGCCUACCAAGGCGACGAUCCGUAACUGGUCUGAGAGGAUGAUCAGUCACACUGGAACUGAGACACGGUCCAGACUCCUACGGGAGGCAGCAGUGGGGAAUAUUGGACAAUGGGCGAAAGCCUGAUCCAGCCAUGCCGCGUGUGUGAAGAAGGCCUUCGGAUUGUAAAGCACUUUAAGUUGGGAGGAAGGGCAGUAAGUUAAUACCUUGCUGUUUUGACGUUACCAACAGAAUAAGCACCGGCUAACUUCGUG